rnacentral:misc_RNA from 1 species
AGAGAAAGAGAGAGGGAUAGUGGAGGUGAUUGUCGAUGCUUGUAGGAAAACGUACCACGCGAAUUUUCCGCACACUGCAUCGCCGUAUUUAUUUUUAGUAUCAAGUGUGCCAUGUCACGUCGUCACAACGCAUCGAUGGCAUUUUUGCAACGUAAUUACGCGUCGCGGAGUUUCUGAGAGAAUUCGUUGAGAAACGCACACAUACGGAUUCCGUUGUCGCUCGCAAUAAUUCUCUCAAGUGAUCCAUGCGUUAAGAACAGUGUUCGAUCAGAGAAUCUACGUGCCAUUGAGACUCUUCAGCUUGAAAUUCGAUCAGAAUACAAUCAUGAAAAAGACACGUUCCAGCAUCUUUCGUGAUAUCUAUUAUCAGCCCUACGAUGAUUGUACGAGGCUGAAGCUUUACUCUAGCAGCAAAGCUAGUUUACAGUUGCUGCAGCGUAUGUCAUUACUGAAGAGAUUAAAGGUUCACAAUGGUUGUGUGAACUCUAUUUGCUGGAACAGUGGUGGAGAAUUGAUACUGUCUGGUAGCGACGAUCAGCAUCUUGUUCUGACUAAUGCUCAUAAUUAUGAGGUGUUAACAGACUAUAAAACAAGUCACAGAGCAAAUAUUUUUAGUGCCAAGUUUUUGCCUAAUAGUGGAGAUCACCGUAUUGUUUCUUGUAGUGGAGAUGGCAUUAUUUUGUAUACAGAUCUGAUGAGAAGAACAGAAACGUUUCAUAAUCAAUUUACUUGUCACACUGGCACUACUUACGAAAUAGCGACAAUACCCGGUGAACCGCAUAGUUUUCUAAGCUGUGGAGAAGACGGAACUGUGAGAUGGUUUGAUCUCAGAAUAAAGGAUAAGUGUAGUGCCGCAAGAUGUAGGGAGGAUGUGUUAAUUCCAUGUCAAAGAGCUGUGACCGCUUUGUCUGUAAAUCCCGUAUUACCUCAUCAAAUAGCGAUUGGAUGUUCUGAUAGCACUGUAAGAACUUUCGACAGAAGAACUCUCGGUACAUCAGCCACUGGUUGGACGGACGUGGGAGGUGCGGUGAGACCACUAUGCAGUUUUACUGUCCCAGAAUUCGAAGGUAAUUCUUACAGGAUUACAUCGUUGAGUUAUAGUCCGGAUGGACAAGAUGUUCUUGUUAGCUACAGCAGUGAUCAUCUCUAUUUAUUCAGCAUCAAGGAUCAAGGCAGUUUGCAAUUGCGGAAAGACGCGACAAUGGGAAAAGGAAAAGGAAAGAAGCAUCCGUUAAGAUCGCCUCAACCAGUUCGUCGCUUGAGACUUCGCGGUGAUUGGUCCGAUACCGGUCCUGAUGCACGUCCGGAAAGAGAAGGAGGACGUCGGAGUGGUACCGAGAUCGCCCAAGCAAGACCGGUGUUACACACGUCUCUGAUGCAGAGAAUGACAGAUGUGCUCAGCAGAAUGUUAAACGACCCUGCCACUAGAGCUGCUUUGAGUGGCGGGGGUGAAGACAGUUUGGAAGGUGUCAUCGAGCAACAGGAAGGUAUACAAAACGCUGAGAAUAAUCUCGAGUCGAAUGCGGAAAGGAAUAAUGAAUCGGCCGAAUUAAGCGCAGAACAGAACAAUAAUCUAGAAACAAGUGGAAAUACAAGUUCGCACACUGAUGGAGCUGAAAAUACAGACGCAGACGAAACGACUAAUACUGACAGAUUCCAGACGAGAGAGAUGGAAGAAAACCGGGGAUAUAAUCAGUCAGCAUCAACGAAUACAUCAGCGAAUGUAAAUGAUGUUUCUAUGGAAACUGAAUCUAGUCAAACCGACCAAGCGCAAGCCGUUUCUGCAGAGUAUACGAGUAGCCAUGAUAGAAUUGCGCAUAGUGACGUAUGGGAUCGAAAUAGAAACGAAGAUGAAGCUUCGCGUGCAAAUAUAGCUAGUAAGCAGGAAAAUAUGAUGGAGAAUCUUCAAGAUAGAUUAACAACGAUGCGAGAUGGUUUCCUCGAAAGACAUGGCAGUGAACCUGCUGUGAGUUUAACAUAUUCUGACAAAAGCUCAACUAGUGCUACAAUAUCGCUUGGUGUCGGCGAUGAAAUGACUCGUGACAGUUAUCAUCCAGGGCCAUCUGGAAGUAACAGCACUGGAACUCUUGAUGCAGGUCCCAGUAAUAAUCAUAGACAUCACCACUAUAGCAAUGUUAGAGAAAAAACUGAAGAAGCAGCAUAUAUCGAUAGCGACGAUGAAGAUAUUCAAUCGGGUGAAAGAUUACUAAAUCCAGUCGAAGCUGAGAUGGACGAAGCGAUUGCCAAUGUUCGUUCGUCACAAGGACACGAGACGUUCGAUGAUACUUAUCUAACGGAACUCUGCGUAAAACAAAAGUACAUGGGCCAUAGGAACGCCAGUUUCUUUAGGACCAUGAUUAAGGAAGCGAAUUUCUGGGGCGACGAUUUCGUCAUGUCGGGCAGCGAUUGCGGUCACGUAUUCGUGUGGGAAAGGGACACCGCCAGACUGUGCAUGCUGUUAGAAGCGGAUCAACAUGUGGUCAACUGUUUGCAACCUCAUCCAUAUCUGCCGAUGUUAGCCACUUCUGGCAUUGACUAUGAUGUGAAACUUUGGGCACCGAUCAAUGACGAGCCGAGCUUUGAUGAAAAAUUCGCGGAAGACGUCGGGGCCGCAACAGGAGACGGAGCAGCGACGAGAGCGGCGAAUUGCGAGGUGGCUAAAUCAUUUUCGACGAUACUGCAAAUGGUGAUAAAAGUGAAAAUGCGUAUCACUGCGACUACAAUUUAUCGAUCGAACCAUCGAACCUUGAACGUUUUAAUCAGGAACGAACGGAUCUCGUGAUGUACGUGUAUAAAGUGCAAUUCAAAUGGUAUAUCAAUGUAGAUACAUUCAUAAGAUAUCCUGUGGUGUUACGAAUGUCACCACGUAUUUGUAUAUACCUUGUGCUUACAAUAUUGUAUCAAAUGGGGAGAGAAUGGAUUUUAUUCAUUUCAUGAAUACCGAAGUCCGAAUGUAUUUUUUUUUGCCACUUUAUAUAUGCAAUCUUAUGCGAAAUUUUUAAUGGAUUCAUAUUGUUUAGUGUGUUUAGUACGAAAAAUGUAGUUUUGUUGUAUACAUUUUACAAUUAAUUUAAACUGUAUAGUUAUUGCAGUAUAUUGGCUCCGAAUGAUAUUUAUGCGAUUUGUAUUAUUAUCAUACGACACAUGUAUAAAAGCACAGCAAAGCUCACUUUUGCAGACAAGUUAUUCUCGUUGAAACAAACAAUGGAAAUUUAGUAUAUCCUUGUUGAUUUUUCAAAUUUAAUACAUUGGUCAGAGGAACGUUUCGUAUCCACUUUACGUGCAUAUUUUGUUGUGUAUUAUUAGAUUCUAAGUAGGCGAAGGAUGUGUCGAUUUCCGUGAUGACAGUGAGGUGACAAAAAAGUAUUGACUCGCGCGUAAUCAGAAGCUUGAAAUUAAUUAUAUUUCACGCUCAAGAGUAUGACUACAUAAUACUGGCUUGCAGCUUAAUGAGCAAGAGGAACAUUUUAUCUUCUGUUAUUGUAAGCAUAAUGUUGUGUAAAUUGCACAGUCAACUUUUUGCGUC